GUAGGUGGCAAGCGUUGUCCGGAAUUAUUGGGCGUAAAGCGCGCGCAGGCGGUUCUUUAAGUCUGAUGUGAAAGCCCACGGCUCAACCGUGGAGGGUCAUUGGAAACUGGAGAACUUGAGUACAGAAGAGGAAAGCGGAAUUCCACGUGUAGCGGUGAAAUGCGUAGAGAUGUGGAGGAACACCAGUGGCGAAGGCGGCUUUCUGGUCUGUAACUGACGCUGAGGCGCGAAAGCGUGGGGGAGCAAACAGGAUUAGAUACCCUGGUAGUCCACGCCGUAAACGAUGAGUGCUAAGUGUUAGGGGGUUUCCGCCCCUUAGUGCUGGAGCUAACGCAUUAAGCACUCCGCCUGGGAGUACGGCCGCAAGGCUG
rnacentral:rRNA from 1 species